UGGCCUCAGAUCAGGGAGGAUCACCCGCCGAAUUUAAGCAUAUUAGUAAGCGGAGGAAAAGAAACUAACCAGGAUUUCCUUAGUAGCGGCGAGCGAACAGGAAUAUAGCCCAGCACUGAAUCCCGUUGUUUUAAUCGAUACGGGAGAUGUGGUGUUCGGGAGUUCCGCUUUCUCGUCGCGACGACUCCUGCCAAGUUCGUCUUGACGGGCCUUUUCCCGUAGAGGUCAGGCGUAGCGACGGUCGUCGGGAGGGACGCCUUAGAGUCGGUUGCUUGAGAGUCAGCCCUAAGCGGGUGGUAC
rnacentral:ncRNA from 1 species